UUUUUCUCAUUCUUCUUCUUUAUGCAUCUUUUUUCUUUCUUUUUCUUUCUUCUGCUCUUCCUAUGUUCUUCAUUCUCUGAUGGUUUGUGAAUCAAAUUGAUGAAUUUGAGAUCGAAACAAGGGGAGAAAUAUCAUGUAGUGACUGCCGAUGAACUGAGAGAUAUGAUAUUGAUGUUGGAGAAGAUUGAGUUGCUGUUAUAAAUUGAAAAUCGGGUUUCUGAAAUUAGGGUGCGUAGAAUUGAUGAUGAUAUAGUGAUGUUGAAGGAUUAAGAACAAUUGGGUUGCCGUUUAAUUGGAUUUCUAGUCUUAUCUUGAAAAGUAAUUUGAGUUUGAUAAUUAGGGUUUCUGCAUGUUGUAUUGGAAUUCGAAUUAGGCAAAGAUUGAGAAGAUUUAGAUAAAAUUGUAAGAUAAGUUUGUUUAAUUGAGACUUUUGAAGUUGUUGUGGUGAUAAAUUGAGAAGAUAGAUUUAUGUUAAAUGGAGUUAGGGUUCUUGAGUCGAUGUAAGUGAGGAUUUAGAAGAUUGUCUGGAAAUGAGUUCUGUUGAUAUGAAGAAGCGGGUUGACGUUCUUGGUUCGAAAUAGAAGUCUUGAGUUAAGAAUUGGUUGGGAUGAAUUGAUGAAUUAUAGAUGAAAAGGUGAUGUGUUGCUGAAUCAAGUUCAAUUGCCUGAGUAGAACUAAUCAGAGGUAAUGGUUUUUCUUAGUUAAUUGAGUAAAGAUUUCUGUUCAAUUUCGUGUUUAUGAGAUUGUUAAUUGGCAUAAGAAUUGAGACGCAGGAAUUGAGAUUGUUUUAGAAUGGGUAAUUGAAGUGCAGAGUUACUUGGGAUGAAUUUAUGUAUAUCUGAAUUAAGAAAUUGAGUUUAAGUAAGGUGUUGUUGCUGUUGUUGUUAUGGUUUGUAUGAAUGAGUGAUUUCAAGAGAUGGAUAUGAGUAACUGUGAUUAUUUGAUUGAGUAUGAUCUCAAUUGAAGUUGCAGUGUGAUUGAGUUACAGGCUCAGGGGACUGGAUUGCGUGUAUAUUUGAUCUGGUAUUGGUAAUUGGAGAUGGUGGUGUUGUCUGUGUUAUAUAAUGCAACAGAAGUAAGAUGAAUGGUUUAAUAAUUGUGGGUAUGCAUGUGGUUAUGUUGAGAAUUGGGUUACAAGAAUGAAUGUGUAUGGAUGGUGGUGUAAGUUGUGAUUCUGGUGGAACUGAAGAUUCAGUUUGUGCUGGUGGAGUUAAUGUUAAUAAGAAUGCCAGAGAACGGUUAGUGGAGGAAUUGAAGUGGUGCUAUAGAUGUCGAUGAUUAUGUAAUGAAAUUGAAUUUAAUAUUUUGGAGUGUGUUGAAUUGUAAGCAAUGGAGCUGGUGCAUAUAUAAUGAGUAGAGUGAUUGUAUCCCUGGAAUUGUGGUGGCAUGGCUUGCAACUUCUGGUUGCAGUUUCAGAGAGAUCAGAGUUGCGCAGUGAAAGCUUCAGGGGUUGAGUUCGUUAGUUGGUUAACUUCUACUAUGUUUAUUAUGUUGUAUAUUCUGUUUGUAAACCAAAUGACUAUUUUAUAUGUAUCAUUUGAGAGGAGUUCUUAUUUAUAUAUUUUUGAGUGGGGUUAGUUAUUGGGUUGAGUUUUGUAUAAGUUUUCUUAAUUGAAUGUUUAAGUAAAUGAUUUAGAUUCUUAGUGUCUCUU